CCAAGGCUAAAUACUCCUGACUGACCGAUAGUGAACCAGUACCGUGAGGGAAAGGCGAAAAGAACCCCGGCGAGGGGAGUGAAAAAGAACCUGAAACCGUGUACGUACAAGCAGUGGGAGCACAGGUUUACCUGUGUGACUGCGUACCUUUUGUAUAAUGGGUCAGCGACUUAUAUUCUGUAGCAAGGUUAACCGAAUAGGGGAGCCGGAGGGAAACCGAGUCUUAAUUGGGCGUUAAGUUGCAGGGUAUAGACCCGAAACCCGGUGAUCUAGCCAUGGGCAGGUUGAAGGUUGGGUAACACUAACUGGAGGACCGAACCGACUAAUGUUGAAAAAUUAGCGGAUGACCUGUGGCUGGGGGUGAAAGGCCAAUCAAACCGGGAGAUAGCUGGUUCUCCCCGAAAGCUAUUUAGGUAGCGCCUCGUGAAUUCAUCUCCGGGGGUAGAGCACUGUUUCGGCUAGGGGGCCAUCCCGGCUUACCAACCCGAUGCAAACUGCGAAUACCGGAGAAUGUUAUCACGGGAGACACACGGCGGGUGCUAACGUCCGUCGUGAAGAGGGAAACAACCCAGACCGCCAGCUAAGGUCCCAAAGUCAUGGUUAAGUGGGAAACGAUGUGGGAAGGCCCAGACAGCCAGGAUGUUGGCUUAGAAGCAGCCAUCAUUUAAAGAAAGCGUAAUAGCUCACUGGUCGAGUCGGCCUGCGCGGAAGAUGUAACGGGGCUAAACCAUGCACCGAAGCUGCGGCAGCGAACGUAUCACUUAAAGCGAUUCAGCGGGUUACGAUUGACGGAGCGAAGCGACGUCAAAGCGUAUACAAAGUCGAGUCGGUUUAAGGAUACGUUCGUUGGGUAGGGGAGCGUUCUGUAAGCCUGUGAAGGUGGCCUGUGAGGGUUGCUGGAGGUAUCAGAAGUGCGAAUGCUGACAUAAGUAACGAUAAAGCGGGUGAAAAGCCCGCUCGCCGGAAGACCAAGGGUUCCUGUCCAACGUUAAUCGGGGCAGGGUGAGUCGACCCCUAAGGCGAGGCCGAAAGGCGUAGUCGAUGGGAAACGGGUUAAUAUUCCCGUACUUGGUGUUACUGCGAAGGGGGGACGGAGAAGGCUAUGUUGGCCGGGCGACGGUUGUCCCGGUUUAAGCGUGUAGGUGUGUGUUCCAGGUAAAUCCGGUU
rnacentral:rRNA from 1 species